rnacentral:rRNA from 1 species
GGGCCCGCACAAGCGGAGGAACAUGUGGUUUAAUUCGAUGAUACGCGAGGAACCUUACCCGGGCUUGAAAUGCAGACGAAUAACUCAGAGACGAGUUAGCCAGCAAUGGCGUCUGUGUAGGUGCUGCAUGGUUGUCGUCAGCUCGUGCCGUGAGGUGUCGGCUUAAGUGCCAUAACGAGCGCAACCCUUAUCUUUAGUUACUAACAGGUCAUGCUGAGGACUCUGGAGAGACUGCCGUCGUAAGAUGUGAGGAAGGUGGGGAUGACGUCAAAUCAGCACGGCCCUUACGUCCGGGGCUACACACGUGUUACAAUGGGGGGUACAACGAGUUGCUUGCUGGUAACAGUUGGCUAAUCUUUAAAACCUCUCUUCAGUUCGGAUCGAAGUCUGCAACCCGACUUCGUGAAGCUGGAUUCGCUAGUAAUCGCGCAUCAGCCACGGCG